CGAAUGUCUAUGAAGGAGAAAAGUAGGACAGAUCCCAGUCUCACAGGGAGGAAACGUCACCGACUGUAAGCGUUUCCAGGCAUGGCUGACUGAAGUUCUCUCCGGAGAUGCCGACUGAACGAAAGAAGUAGGUUAGGCCGUAGUUCCCACGUUACAGGGAAGGGGGUAUCGGACUUGGUUCCCGUACUCUGCACAAGGGGGUCUCUUUUUCUUUUGGAGAGAUCAACUAGGGUGGUAACGCGGCAAGCUUUAGGCUUCUCGUCCCUAUU
rnacentral:ncRNA from 1 species